UACGUAGGGUGCAAGCGUUGUCCGGAAUUAUUGGGCGUAAAGAGCUCGUAGGCGGUCUGUCGCGUCUGCUGUGAAAACUCAGGGCUUAACCCUGAGCUUGCAGUGGGUACGGGCAGACUAGAGUGGCGGUAGGGGAGACUGGAAUUCCUGGUGAUGAGCGGUGAAAUGCGCAGACUAUCGAGGAGGGAACACCGGUGGGCGA
rnacentral:rRNA from 1 species